ACUAACGCCACCCCUGAUGGACACCCGCUGUACGGCGCGUGGGAUGCAUUCGCCGCUUCCAGAGCCGCGUACUUUGAAUCGUCACCGUCGCCGUUGAUUUCGCCGUUGCGGGUAUCGGAGCAAAACGACAAGCCGUUUCGGUGAGGCUCGAGGAGAAGAGGGACGUCUUUUUCCAGCAAAUCAUCGGGGCCGAACCUGUGAGGUAAAAAAUAAGAUAAAGGAGCAAAUUGCAUGUCUUUAUCGUUACGAUUGUUGAUCGUUUUGUUUUCUUUUUCCUUCUCGGUGGCGGUUAUGAGGAUGUUGACAUCGGGGGCGGCGCGUAGCUCUUGGAGGAACUGGCGACAAUGACCACAAGGGGCGGCGGAGACGGCGAGGAACUUGAGACAUGGUUCCGCAUUGAGGGAAAGGUUGGUGAUUAAGAAUUGCUCGGCGUGGACGGAAUGAUUGAGAGGGAGACCCGGGAAUUCCAGAUUGACUCCGAAAAAGAUCCGACCCGAUGAGCCGACCCCGACG
rnacentral:lncRNA from 1 species